rnacentral:misc_RNA from 1 species
UACGGAGGGAGCUAGCGUUAUCCGGAUUCACUGGGUUUAAAGGGUGCGUAGGCGGGUAGGUAAGUCAGUGGUGAAAUCCUGGAGCUUAACUCCAGAACUGCCAUUGAUACUAUCUAUCUUGAAUAUUGUGGAGGUAAGCGGAAUAUGUCAUGUAGCGGUGAAAUGCUUAGAUAUGACGUAGAACACCUAUUGCGAAGGCAGCUUACUACGCAUAUAUUGACGCUGAGGCACGAAAGCGUGGGUAGCAAACAGG